rnacentral:lncRNA from 1 species
AGGAGAUGUCCUAACAUUACAAGUGUAAGCAAUGAAUCUAAGAAGUUUGUCACAAGUACAGAAGGUGUUUUCAAAUAUUCCCGCAUUCCUUUCUAGCCAUAGGACAUAGAACAUUUCUGUCAAGACCAUUUUAAUUAUGUGGGCUCGAGGAGAUUUUCCUUUAGUCUGCUUGAUGAACUAGUGGACAAACUAAGACCAGUCCUGUCGAGCAGGCUGUUGAACUUCAAUCCAUUGCAAUGUGUGAGACUUCAGCUGAAUAGCAAAGGUGCAUUCCAAGAAUAAAUGAUCUCUGGUUUCCUUAGCUUGUUGGCACAUAACACAGGUGUCAUCCACAGUUACGUUCCACUUAAUCAACCUGUCUUUGGUAGGGAGUCUGUCUU